ACCUGGCUGGCUCAGACAGUAGAGCAUGUGACUCUUGAUCUCAAGAUUGUGAGUUCAAGCCCUAUUUUGGGUG
rnacentral:tRNA from 1 species